rnacentral:misc_RNA from 1 species
AAGUCGUAACAUGGUUUCCGUAGGUGAACCUGCGGAAGGAUCAUUACCUUUCUGGCUAUUUAAUAGCUUGUCUGGGGGCUGCAGUUUCUGCAGUCUCUGACUACAUCCGUGUUUUUUGCGUACUAUAUGUUUCCUCGGCGGGCUUGCUUGCCGGUUGGACAAACUGAAAACCCUUUGCUUAUCAGCAUUGCAAGUCGUCUGAAAUUAUAUAAUAAUUACAA